rnacentral:rRNA from 1 species
UACGGAGGGUGCGAGCGUUAUCCGGAUUCACUGGGUUUAAAGGGUGCGUAGGUGGGUCUGUAAGUCAGUGGUGGAAAUCUCCGGGCUUAACCUGGAAACUGCCAUUGAUACUAUAGGUCUUGAAUUUUCUGGAGGUAAGCGGAAUAAUGUCAUGUAGCGGUGAAAUGCUUAGAUAUGACAUAGAACACCAAUUGCGAAGGCAGCUUGCUACACAUAUAUUGACACUGAGGCACGAAAGCGUGGGGGAUCAAACAGG